GACGAACGCUGGCGGCGUGCCUAAUACAUGCAAGUCGAGCGAAGUUUUUCUGGUGCUUGCACUAGAAAAACUUAGCGGCGAACGGGUGAGUAACACGUAAAGAACCUGCCUCAUAGACUGGGACAUCUAUUGGAAACGAUAGCUAAUACCGGAUAACAGUAUUUCUCGCAUGAGAGAUAUUUAAAAGUUGGUUAUGCUAACACUAUGAGAUGGCUUUGCGGUGCAUUAGCUAGUUGGUGGGGUAAAGGCCCACCAAGGCGACGAUGCAUAGCCGACCUGAGAGGGUGAUCGGCCACACUGGGACUGAGACACGGCCCAGACUCCUACGGGAGGCAGCAGUAGGGAAUCUUCCGCAAAGGGCGAAAGCCUGAAGGAGCAACGCCGCGUGAGUGAAGAAGGAGUUCGGUUCGUAAAGCUCUGUUGUUAGGGAAGAAUGGAUAUGUAGUAACUAUACAUGUAAGAGACGGUACCUAACCAGAAAGCCACGGCUAACUACGUG
rnacentral:rRNA from 1 species